rnacentral:lncRNA from 1 species
GGAUAAAAUCGGACGUGAUUUGAAGUUCUUCCACAGAUCUGUGCGUCUUCUCAAGGAGAUGUUCUCUUCUGCCUAAUGUUCUUUUCUCGUGUAAAGCAACCUUAUCAUCCCUACUUUCUGCUGCCUUUUUAUUGUGAAGGUGUCCGAAAUUAAUAGUGAUGCAAAAAAAAGGGAGGAAUAAGUUGUAAAUUUGCACUUUCUGCUGGUUUUAUUAUGAAAGUGACACUGAGCAACUUUUCUGAACUUGAUUGAUCAAAGCUCGCAGCUGGUGGCAAAGUGCUAGAUUUUUCUGUAUAAGAACAAAUUUUGUUCCAUCAACAUCGAAGUCCCGUGUCAAAUACAAAAUGCCUUUAUGUACGCGGC